rnacentral:rRNA from 1 species
GAUGGACGCUGGCGGCGUGCCUAAUACAUGCAAGUCGAGCGAACAGACGAGGAGCUUGCUCCUCUGACGUUAGCGGCGGACGGGUGAGUAACACGUGGAUAACCUACCUAUAAGACUGGGAUAACUUCGGGAAACCGGAGCUAAUACCGGAUAAUAUAUUGAACCGCAUGGUUCAAUAGUGAAAGACGGUUUUGCUGUCACUUAUAGAUGGAUCCGCGCCGCAUUAGCUAGUUGGUAAGGUAACGGCUUACCAAGGCGACGAUGCGUAGCCGACCUGAGAGGGUGAUCGGCCACACUGGAACUGAGACACGGUCCAGACUCCUACGGGAGGCAGCAGUAGGGAAUCUUCCGCAAUGGGCGAAAGCUUGACGGAGCAACGCCGCGUGAGUGAUGAAGGUCUUCGGAUCGUAAAACUCUGUUAUUAGGGAAGAACAAAUGUGUAAGUAACUAUGCACGUCUUGACGGUACCUAAUCAGAAAGCCACGGCUAACUACGUG